rfam:Triticum aestivum genome assembly, contig: Triticum_aestivum_CS42_TGACv1_scaffold_605204_7DL
CAACUACUCCAUCUGUCCCAAAUUUCUUGUCUUAGAUUUGUCUAGAUACGGAUGUAUCUAAUACUAAAAUGUGACUUGAUACAUCCGUAUCUAGACAAAUCUAAGACAAGAAUUUUGGGACGGAGGGAGUACUUU